UGUCGUGAGAUGUUGGGUUAAGUCCCGCAACGAGCGCAACCCUUGUCAUUAGUUGCUACGAAAGGGCACUCUAAUGAGACUGCCGGUGACAAACCGGAGGAAGGUGGGGAUGACGUCAAGUCCUCAUGGCCCUUAUAGGUAGGGCUACACACGUCAUACAAUGGCUGGUACAGAGGGUUGCCAACCCGCGAGGGGGAGCCAAUCCCAUAAAACCAGUCGUAGUCCGGAUCGCAGUCUGCAACUCGACUGCGUGAAGUCGGAAUCGCUAGUAAUCGCGGAUCAGAAUGUCGCGGUGAAUACGUUCCCGGGUCUUGUACACACCGCCCGUCACACCAUGGGAGCGGGUUCUGCCAGAAG
rnacentral:rRNA from 1 species